rnacentral:rRNA from 1 species
GACGAACCGUGCAAACGUUGUUCGGAAUCACUGGGCUUAAAGGGCGCGUAGGCGGAUUCUCAAGUCGGUGGUGAAAUCGUUCGGCCCAACCGGACAAGUGCCGCCGAUACUGGGAGUCUUGAGGGAGGUAGGGGUCCGCGGAACUGUGGGUGGAGCGGUGAAAUGCGUUGAUAUCCACAGGAACGCCGGUGGCGAAAGCGGCGGACUGGAUCUCUUCUGACGCUGAGGCGCGAAAGCCAGGGGAGCAAACGGG